UUCCUUUUACAUCCCAAAUCAGUGCAUUUACAGUAUUGUCUUUGUACAUGAACCUCUCCCUCAGCUCCAACGCUGGAUUUAGAGGCAAGUGUGUGGUGGGACCCAUAUAGGCACCCAAUACCCACCUCUUUAAAACUGCCAGCCUUGGCCCCUCCAGUGCCUAAAUGAUAAAUGUGCUCCUGAAAAACAAUACAUUUUUUGAAAAAAUAAACAAGGAAUGUAAAAUUGAUUAAUACUGUAACCAUUCCAUGCUCUGGAAUAUACAUAUAUUAUAUGCAUAUAUAUGUACAUGAAUAUAUACUAUAUGUAAAUAAAGAAUUCAAAUAAAAAUAGCUUUCUACCAAUCAAUUCACACUGGAGACCUUGACAUAAAAUCAUUCUUUGAAUAAAUCAACUUGAGGGUUUGACAUUAACAUAUUUAUAUCUUUCCAGAAUUGACGAUAAUCUGCAAAUAUUUAGACAUAUGAAGAGUAUGCAUUCAUUAAUCCCCAUAACUAAUUUACAUAAGUAAAGGAUUACCAUUUUUUUCUAUCCUAUAUAUGUAGGGUUAGCAAGCAAAUACUUAACUGCAAAAGAGAAAGUUUUAAACCCCAGCAAUGACUCUUAUUCUUGCUACAUGUUGUGUAUUGCUAUGGAAUUCAUAUGCAGAAUCUCAGACAUUGCUGACACCAUCAAAUAAUGCAGUAAAUCUGGGAGAGAGGGUAACUCUUACCUGUAAUAUUGGAGCUAAGGAUGGUGACUUGGUAAACCUCCUAAAGCAAAUACCAGGGAAUCCUCCACAGCUGAUUUUAUAUCAUCACCAUUCAUUCACCUCUCCUAGAUAUGGACCAGGGAUAUCUACUGACCGUUAUACUGCCACCAUUAAUGCCGCAGCCACUGAGUAUCAGUUUAUUAUUAAGAAGGCAGAGACAGCAGACACUGCUCAUUAUUACUGUGUGAAAUGGUUUUGGAGCCUUCCAGGGUUCCACAGUGAUAAAGAGUCUGACUAGAUCUGGUCACAUAAAAAAGGAACUGGUUUAUGGCAGACUGCACAUCUACAUUUACUCAGUCAGUUUUUACAGAUAUUCUGUGUUGUUUACCACUGAAUACUGAUAAACUGUUUGCACAUGAACAUAUUACUUAUCAAUUUUUCAACUUAAGGGCAGAUCAAAUUUUCUAGAUUAAACUGGGGAAUUCAGAAAGAUUCCCACAAUGUAUUUUGCAGUUUUUCCAGAACUAUUAGCAGAUCAAUCAAACAACACUGAUAGUGCCAGGCCUAGGUUUUUUGUUGCCCUAGGCAUACCAGGCAUAGCAGACCCCCUCCAAAAGCACCCCACUGGUGCAUAAAUCAAUUUUCUGAUUUGGUUAAAGAGGUUGUUUACCUUCCAAACACUUUCAGUUCAGUUAUUUUCAGACU